GAGCAGGCGGAGGGUGAGUGACGGCGGGGCGACGCUCAGCGCCGUCUUCAGUGGGAAGCGAAUCAGCCGUAGGUGGGAAAUUAGGGUCACAUCUCCGAUCUCCCGAGAUUACUCCAAACUACAUAGCUGCUCAUUAGUUCAUGCAAAUUUUGAAUACUGCUCUAUGCUGAGAAAUGACUACUGACCAGACAAGCCACCCCCUUGCAGGAGGUAAUUACCAGUCUUGGCAGAUAAAGCCUAUUCUAAAUCUAG
ensembl:lncRNA